AAAUUUUGGUGGGAGAAAGGAAUUGCACAUUGCUAGUAUGUUGUCCAAUGAGCCUUCUCUUCAUGGAUCACAUGAAUGUGAUAUUAAGGUUUUUCCAGACAGUCAAGAAAAUGAUGGUGGGCAUUGGUAUUUUUCUCAGAAGGAAUAGAAGAAAAUUCACGACAAGAUGGCAUUGAUUUGAAGAAAGAGACUUACAUGCGCAAGUCAUACUGCACGCAUUUACCCUGGGAAUGUGGCUACAAGUGUGAGGUUUCUUUCUUGGAUGCCUCAGGUGACUAUUGCGACAACAAUAAUAUUUUGUCACCGUUUCUUCAUUUAUCAGCCCCAUGUCAAGAAUGAUAGGAAGGUAAAGUUGAAGAGACUCCCCGUCUUUGAAGAAUGUCAUACUAACAUCAUAUGAAAUUAUUCACAAAAAGGAUGCAACAGCUGUCCAAAAGAUCAAGCAAA